GAUGAACGCUGGCGGCGUGCCUAAUACAUGCCAGUCGAGCGAACAGACGAGGAGCUUGCUCCUCUGACGUUAGCGGCGGACGGGUGAGUAACACGUGGAUAACCUACCUAUAAGACUGGGAUAACUUCGGGAAACCGGAGCUAAUACCGGAUAAUAUAUUGAACCGCAUGGUUCAAUAGUGAAAGACGGUUUUGCUGUCACUUAUAGAUGGAUCCGCGCCGCUUUAGCUAGUUGGUAAGGUAACGGCUUACCAAGGCGACGAUGCAUAGCCGACCUGAGAGGGUGAUCGGCCACACUGGAACUGAGACACGGUCCAGACUCCUACGGGAGGCAGCAGUAGGGUAUCUUCCGCAAUGGGCGAAAGCCUGACGGAGCAACGCCACGUGAGUGAUGAAGGUCUUCGGAUCGUAAAACUCUGUUAUUAGGGAAGAACAAAUGUGUAAGUAACUAUGCACGUCUUGACGGUACCUAAUCAGAAAGCCACGGCUAACUACGUG
rnacentral:rRNA from 1 species